GUGAGGAAUAUUGCGCAAUGGAGGCAACUCUGACGCAGCCAUGCCGCGUGCAGGAAGAAGGCGCUACGCGUUGUAAACUGCUUUUAACCGGGAAGAAACCCCAGGACGUGUCCUGGGUUGACGGUACCGGAGGAAUAAGCACCGGCUAACUUCGUGCCAGCAGCCGCGGUAAUACGAAGGGUGCAAGCGUUAUCCGGAUUCAUUGGGUUUAAAGGGUGCGUAGGCGGAGCGUUAAGUCAGGGGUGAAAUCAUGCAUCUUAACUGUAGACUUGCCAUUGAUACUGGCGCUCUUGAGUGCGCUUGAAGUGGGCGGAAUGUGCCGUGUAGCGGUGAAAUGCUUAGAUAUGGCACAGAACACCAAUUGCGAAGGCAGCUCACUAAGGCGAUACUGACGCUGAGGCACGAAAGCGUGGGGAUCGAACAGGAUUAGAAACCCUAGUAGUCC
rnacentral:rRNA from 1 species